rnacentral:lncRNA from 1 species
GUUUUGUGCAGGAAUAGAAACUCUGACUAAGACAGGGAGCAAGCAUGGAGUUCUGUCUACAUGCCCGUUUUCCUUCUACAAGACAGCCACCUCCAGGAAGCAACUGCUAAAGUAGAGUUGGAAAUAGACUCAAGUCCUCAACUUAGCUGCUGAGCAGGGAUUGGAAAAAAUACUCAUGUGAUUCCAAAGGAAACUCAGCUGGUCCUGGUGUGUGUGUGUGUGUGUGUGUGUGUGUGUGUGUGUGUGUGUGUGUGUGUGUGUGUAGGGCGGGAGUAGGGAUAAGGGCUGCUCUGUCAAUCCUGACUUUACAGCCACUCAUCCUGGUGCCCACAGAUCACACUCGGGAUCUAGGCUCAAUUGAAAAGUGCAAAGCCGCUCCCACCCCUUGUUGAUAUUCAGCCCUGGCAAGUCCUUUGGGCAGCAGAGAUGCUGUGCCCUCCAAAUGUGCCUUUGUCCCACCACCUGUCAAUAGGGAGCAGAUCUCCAAAUACCCAGGUUCCCGGUGUUGCAGUUCCCACUCUGCAUCUCUGAGCGUGCCUCUGAGAGAGGGCCUCUGUUGACGUUUCAGGAAGGUCACAUUCCAGAAAGCCUGAAGCCAUGGCAGAAGGCAGGAGAAUGUGGCUUCCUCUGUCCCUGUCCCUAUCCUGUGACCGCCUCAUUACACCCUAGAACAUCCCUAUCUCUGUGGCUCCCACAGUGAAGGACACCUCAUAGCCUGCAUCCUUUACCCACCAAGAGUCUCCUUCAGCUGUUUAUGUCACCUGUGCUGUGACAAUCCCUGGCAGCUCCGAGCCAGCUAAAAAAAAAAAACCUGUUAGCCUCUAGAGGACAAUCUGCGUUUUAAAUGUCAUCCCCUGUCGCCUUACAGAAUCUGUUAUAUGGGGCUCACAGAGGUUGUAUAUUGAUCUACAGAAGGCGUUUGUACCAGACUCUUUCUUACUCUGUCCUAGAAUGAUGACGGUCCUCCUCAACACGCGUUGUAUGCUGGGGUGGGAGAAUGGAAUUAUAUAUAUAUGAUAUAGGAUCUAUUUUCCUAACCGUUCCUCUGGGUCCUACCUGGGAUGUGUGCAUCGCGAUGGGGAAGGACUCGACUCGCAAGGCUGCAGCAUUCUGACAGCUGCCUUACUAAUCCACAAGCUGCAGGCCUUCUGAAUGACAGCAGAUGGUGGGCACUGGAGCCAGUCCCAGGAAGAACCUAACUGCGUGACUGAGAAUUCAUCUAU